rnacentral:rRNA from 1 species
GAAGAACCUUACCUGGGCUUGAAGGAUUGGAGUCUGCAACUCGACUCCAUGAAGUUGGAAUCGCUAGUAAUCGCGGAUCAGCACGCCGCGGUGAAUACGUUCCCGGGUCUUGUACACNCCGCC